GGGAGGCAAAUAGGGCGCUAGCCUUCUAAGUUAGAGAUCGCCGGUUCAAAUCCGGCCGGGCCCG
rnacentral:tRNA from 1 species